CAAGUCGAGCGGAAACGAGUUAACUGAACCUUCGGGGAACGUUAACGGCGUCGAGCGGCGGACGGGAGAGUAAUGCCUGGGAAAUUGCCCUGAUGUGGGGGAUAACCAUUGGAAACGAUGGCUAAUACCGCAUAAUAGCUUCGGCUCAAAGAGGGGGACCUUCGGGCCUUUCGCGUCAGGAUAUGCCCAGGUGGGAUUAGCUAGUUGGUGAGGUAAUGGCUCACCAAGGCGACGAUCCCUAGCUGGUCUGAGAGGAUGAUCAGCCACACUGGAACUGAGACACGGUCCAGACUCCUACGGGAGGCAGCAGUGGGGAAUAUUGCACAAUGGGCGCAAGCCUGAUGCAGCCAUGCCGCGUGUAUGAAGAAGGCCUUCGGGUUGUAAAGUACUUUCAGCAGUGAGGAAGGCGGAGUCGUUAAUAGCGGCCUCGUUUGACGUUAGCUGCAGAAGAAGCACCGGCUAACUCCGUGCCAGCAGC
rnacentral:rRNA from 1 species